rnacentral:lncRNA from 1 species
UUCUUCCACCAUCCAUCAAUUUUCAUCCCCUCCAUAAACUUCAAAGGUUCCUCCUUUUCCUCUCUCUUUCCCCCAAAAAACCCCACCACCACCCUCCACCACCGCCAUCGCCACUACCUUUUUCUCUACACACUACCCAAUAUCACCCCCUUUCCCCUCUAUCCCUCUCUUUCUUGCUAUCUUCCUCCAUCUCUCUGUUGU